GGCUGAAUGACCGCGGGGGCAAGCCUGGAAUAGGGGAGUGCUACAGAGGACGGGUCAGAGGACCUGCCGCUGACCGCUGACCUGAGGCUGCGUGCCCAGGAAAGAGGAGGACUGCAUCAAGGGAGGGCAGCCUGGAGGUGGAGGGAGACAAAGUGCUUGUGAACAGGAGAGGGGACCUGCUUUCCCCCCUACUUCAAGUUCUUGAGAAGGAAAUUGCUUAUCUUUUGAAAAGAGUUAACUGAUCUCUUCAAGGCCUCCUCCACAGAAGAAAGGUGACCGACACUGUGCCCAGUUUGAUGACACAGUGCACACACCCAUGUCCUCACCUUCCUUAAACCAAACCCUAUGCAUAUGGUGCAGAUACCAGUUCAUUUACAUAACUCCAAACACACAGCCUCUUGGUUACACCUUCAAGGCAAAUAUACCCACCCCUUUCAUUCUUCCGACUGCAUAUCCUUCCUAUCUGAGCUGGGACUUUUUCCGGAUCCUUUGUCCCUUGCUCCUGACUGCUACUAGAUCUGUAAUAGCAAGAGCACCUUACCAUGUUCUAAUACCACUAUGUGCC